rnacentral:tRNA from 1 species
CGGGGUGUGGCGCAACUUGGUAGCGCGGCAGCUUUGGGAGCUGAAGGUUGCAGGUUCAAAUCCUGCCAUCCCGACCA